CCCACGCUCAAUCCACUGAGCUACACCAGCCAGGGCUUUUUUCUGAUUUUUAUGGUUUCAAUUUGGAAGAUUCUAUGUUUCUAGGAAUUUACCCAUUUUAUCCAGAUUGUCCAACUUGUUGGCAUAUAGUAGUUCAUAAUAUUUUCUUACAAUUUUUUUUGUAUUUCUGUGAUUUCAGUUGUUACUUCUCUUUCAUUUCUAUUUUAUUUAUUUGGGAGCCCUCUCUCUCUCUCUCUCUCU